GCGCUCGUGGUGGAACAGGCAUACACGCCGGCCUCAGGUGCCGGUGCCCCGCAAGGGGUGUGGGGGUUCGAAGCCCUCCGAGCGCACGA
rnacentral:tRNA from 1 species